ACCUGCGGAGGAUCAUUAAUGAGGGCGUGUGGGGCUUAAUAUCCCCC
rnacentral:rRNA from 1 species